GCAUAACUAUAUGCUAAUGAAAAACAAAUAUAAUUGUAAACAAAUAAGUAAAUUCAAAGUAAAAAUAUUUUGUAGUGAUGGCGAAAAUUCUUUCAAAUCAAUGUGAAUAUAUUGCAAGUGACACAAGUAAUAUUUAUAAUGAGAAAUGGAAAAGUUGGUGUCGACUCUGUGCUAAAGCUGAUGAACGUUGCGUUAAUGUUAUAUCUGGGAUACAUUCACAUUCACAACCAUCAAAUGAAACUAGUUUUAGCCAGGAUAUUAACUUGUCUUAUUUAAUUGCUAAAUAUUUUCAAAUCGAAAUACAGGAAGACGAAAAACUUUCACAAGUAAUUUGCUUAGAGUGUUGCAAAUAUAUCACAGCUCUUAAUAAGUUUGGGGAACGCGUAAACAAUGUGCAACAAAUGUAUGAUGAGCUUUAUAAGUGUAAAGACAAAACAAGACUUAAUAUGGGUUUUCUAUUAGAGAAAUAUGGCAUAUUUAACGAUGAAUCAAUACUUGCGCACGAUGAAAACGAAUUGCCAGUUGAGAAAAUAUUUAUUGCUGGUUUGGCAAUUUCGCCUGAAACUGAAUCUCCCAUAGUUGAUAUAAAAAAUGAAGUAGUCACAGUCUUAGAACAAGUGGAUAGAACAUCGCAGGCUGACAAUAAAGAAGAUGCAGAAUUUCAUGAUCCCAUCGGUGAUGAGACGCGGCAUAGCGAAAAAGCAUAUUGUACAACAACAGAUAGUGAAGGAAGUAGUUCUGGUGAAGACAAUUAUUCUGAAGAUGAUGCAGAUUCAACAAAACAUAACAAAAAUCGUUUGAAAAAAACUAGUGAAGACACUGAGGAGCAAACAUGCAAUAUAUGUUCACAAAUUUUUCAACGUCGCAGCAACUAUUCAACACAUAUGAAGAGAAAGCAUGGAGUGAUCGUUUGUCCACAGUGUCCCGGUUCAUUUAAAAAUAUUUCAAGUCUCAACAAACAUAUGGUAGAGCAUCGUAAGUCUUUUAAUUGUACACAAUGUGAACAAAAGUUCGAAAGAAAAGGUCUGUUGGGUAAGCACAUGAGAAAUGAUCAUAAAGCAGGUGGCAAAUUUAUAUGUGAAGCAUGCGGAGAAGCAAUGACGACGAAAAAGCAAUUGACGCUACAUAUGUUGACCCAUAGCGACUAUACUCCAUAUAAAUGCAAAGACUGUGGCAGAUGUUUCAAAGAGAAAUAUCUUUUGAAGAGGCAUUCCGAAAUACACGGGGAUAAGGUCAUCUGUCCUGUAUGUGGUAAACAGCUUAGUUGUCGCGCUACGUUCAAUAAUCAUAUGUUGGUUCAUUCAGACAACGCUCCAUAUAAAUGUGACGUAUGUGGACGUGCUUUUAAACGUGGCAAAGCACUAAAAUACCACCUGCUUGCUCAUACUGGCCUAAGACCUUAUUCAUGUGACUUUUGUGAUAAAACAUUUUCUACUGGUUCAAGCUGUCGGUUUCAUAAGAAAACAAUGCAUCCAGUUGAACUGGCUGCUCUUGAGGCAUCAGGCGCCAAGGCCUAUACAAAAAAUGUACCAAACUUGGAUUCAUUACGAGCCGUAGCGAAAACUGGACGCAAUUUCUUACCAUUAGCAUCAAAACAAAAUGGAUAUACGAUUUUAAGGAACUCAAAAGAUGCUAGUUGCGAAGAUGGCAAGGACGGAGAUGAUAAUAAUAUUGUUGAUAAAUAAGUAGUCAGUGAUAAUGUAUGUAUGUAAAUGAUUUAUUAUUGGUUUAAAUAACAGAAGUCUAAAACUUUUUGGUUCAACAAAGAAGGAGUGAGUUCCAAAACGUCAGCUGUAAAACAACCAUACAUUGUCACGCAUUCCUAAAUGAAAUUGUGCAUACUUUGACGAUGUAUCAUGUCAGAAAUUGCAUCGCAACUUCACCGGUUUCGCAACCGCAUCAUUACAAAGUAUUUUGACGUUUUGGAACUCGCCUAAAUAACAUAAAUUAUAUCAAACAAUAGCUGCAUGUAAACUAAUUUUUGUAACAUGAGAUUUUAAGAUAUUAUAUGUAUGUAUGGGUUAAUAGUACAUAUGUGUGUAUAAAAUUCAAAUGUGGACUGACAGUGCUCUAUAUAAAUGUGUCCGCUAUUAUUUAAAUUAAGGCAGAAAUAAAAUGGAUUUACUCAAUUAAGAUAAGUGCAAAAAAAUAAAC